GUUAGGAAUAUUGGACAAUGGGCGAAAGCCUGAUCCAGCCAUGCCGCGUGAACGAUGAAGGCCUUCGGGUUGUAAAGUUCUUUAGCCGAUGAUUAUAAUGACUGUAGUCGGAAAAUAAGCCCCGGCUAACUUCGUGCCAGCAGCCGCGGUAAUACGAAGGGGGCGAGCGUUAUUCGGAAUCACUGGGCGUAAAGCGUGCGUAGGCGGUUUUGUAAGUUAGGAGUGAAAGCCCAGGGCUCAACCUUGGAAUUGCUGUUAAAACUGGAAGGCUAGAGUCUGGGAGAGGAUAGCGGAAUUUCCAGUGUAGCAGUGAAAUGCGUAGAUAUUGGGAGGAACACCAGUGGCGUAAGCGGCUAUCUGGACGAGUAUUGACGCUGAGGCACGAAAGCGUGGGGAGCAAACAGGAUUAGAAACCCGGGUAGUCC
rnacentral:rRNA from 1 species